rnacentral:lncRNA from 1 species
UUUUUUUUUUUAAUAAAAAAGCUCUCUAAACUAUGUAAUUUUAGGCUACAUAAAACCUAGAUUCAUCCCUGGAAGAAAGAGUCUUAAAUACAUAUUGAAGCACCUUUAGCCAUCCCAGACAAAAGUCAGGGUUAACUCCAACAGACCAUGACAAAAGUCAGGGUUAACUCCAACAGCAAAUCUGUGAGCCAAAACUUCCCUUUUCUUUUCUCUUGGAAUAUUCUGAAUUUGGUUUUAUCCCACUUACAACUGAAGGGUAGCAGAAUAUGCUGCCCCAAAGUAUGACUCUUUGGCAUAAGGAUUAUUUUAAGAAACAGUAGAUAAAGGAGAAGCUCUGAAAAUAGUGAAGUUACCUUUUUGAAAGAGUCAUUUACAUUUAUAAAGGAAAUCUCCAUUUGUAGGUAGCUCCCUCUCUAUACCAGGAAGAGAAGGAUGACUAAACCACAAGAGAAUCUUAUCAGUGGAGAAGGUAUUCAUUCAAUCUAUAUAGAACAAACUUACUCUUGUUUACCUUGCUUUUCCUAUUAAAAUCCCAUACCUGUCCACUACUGCCCUCCUUACCUUUCUUUUGUCUUUAGCUGAAGAUGUUAUUUAAGGUAGUACAUGGGCUACCUCAAGGAAUUACUCCAUUUUCCUGGAUAUCUCCCAUAUAUAUGUGAGGUAUAAAUGUUAAUAAAUUUCUGUGUGUUCUCUCCUGUUAACAUUUAUUACAGGAGUUCCCGUGGUGGUUAAUGACUGCAACUAGGAACCAUGAGCCAGGACGGGAACUCCUCUUAUGCAUCUUUUAGAAAUGACUAGUUUAAAAGUGAAUAGCUUCGAGCUCUUACUUGUGCUUCUCCCUGGCUUAACUGUACCCUAAACACAAUAACCAGUGAAAGACAGAUUAGGCACUCUGAGCACAACUGCUUAUGGGUCAAAGAUUAUAAGUACAUGAUUUUUUUUUUUUUUUAGGACUUUCCUAGAUUGCCCUAAUCUCUGAAUAAUAUGCUCUUUUACCAAGUGUUUUUAUUUUAGGAAAAAUCGAGAUAAUUCAGAAGACCACCAAGAUCAUGCUGAGAUCUCAUGACACCAACUUUGAUGACUGAAGAUUUCUUCCAAAGAAAGAAGAAUGCAUAUUUGCGCUCAACCCUGAUAUUUAUCUAGAACCUUGUUUUCCUACUUUUUACUAUAAAACUCCCCACAAUUCUUCCCAAUCGAGGGCACAGUCUUUAAUGCAUUAGACUAUUGUGGCCUCUUUUGCCUGGCAAAGCAAUAAAAGCUAUUCUUUUCUCCUUUACCCAAAACUCUGUCUCUGCAUUUCUAUUCAGCACCGGUGGAGAGAAGCUAAGUUUUGGUAAUACUACUAUCAAGAAACAAGUCAAAAAAAGAAAGAAUGUGAGAUAUAAUACACUUAACCUGAGGGCUGAAGCUCAAGUGUGCUGGGCUUCUAGUUGGAAGCAGUGUGGCAGAACAGUGGUCAUCCUAGACUCUGGAGUCAGAUCAUAUUUGGAAUCGAAUUCUGUCAUAAUUAUUGGGUAACUAGGGCUAGUUACUGAACCUCCCCGAACCCCAGUUUCCUCAUCUGCAAAAUGGUGACAAUCACAUACGUUACAGGAAUUAUGUGAGGAAAUGGAUAUAAAGCACUUAGCACAGACCCAGGCUCAAAACAAAGCACUCAGUAUGUAGAAGUGAUUGCUAUUAUUACUACCAUUAUUAACAAUUGUCACAGAACAUCAUCUUGGUUAAAUAGACACUAAGCUUGGGGGGUAUGAAAUCACUCUGAGGAAAGAGAGACUUGGAGAAAACACAACUUGCCUGGUACUUUGGUCAAAACAUUCAUUUGUCUGACUUUAUACUGGUGGUAUUGGAAUGUCUAUUGUGAAGAUGAUAGAGCCUGAGUAGGAUCCGAAAUCACAACAGAAAGGCAAGCAUAACCUUCUUGGUUGUAAUAAGCAACUUGUUAAUAUUUGGACGAAUAGACUUCUCUGCUUUGGACUUUUCUACUCAAAAUGUGGCCCAUGGACCAGAAUAUCAUGGUAACUUCUUAUAAUCUCAGGCCCCAUCCCUAAUCUACUGAACCAGAAUUUUAACCAGAUCCCUAGGUGAUUUGUAUGCACAUUAAAGCUUGAAAAGCACCUCUGUAGACCACAAAAUUUAAUGUACAGCUAACCCAUUUUGGAUGUGUUUCUGUGAUCUUUGCUGUAUAAUAAACCUCUCUAAAAUGUGGUGACUUAAAACAAUAAGAAUAAGAAUGAUUUACUGUCCCUACUUCUUCAAUUUGUGCAGGGCUCAAUGGGACAGCUCAUCACUCCACUCCACAUGGUGCUGACUGAGGCAGUCCAGCUGGGACUGCAAGAUCCAAGUUGACUUCCCCUGCCCUCCAUGCUCCUCAACUAGCAGCUGGCUAGGCCUCCCCCCUCAUCUUUGUAGACCUCCAGGUGCUCUUUCCCAGUAGCCUCUCUUGCUGCAUAAUCAGACUUUUUAAAGAGAUGGCACAGGGCUCCAAAGAGUGUUAUCUUCAGCCAUCCUAAAGUCUAGAUCCAGAACUGCCACAGUGUUAUCUUGCUAUUUUCUACUAGUCAAAGCAAGUCAAAAGAUCAACUCAAACUCAAGGCGGGGUGGGUGGGAGGAAGGGAAAUAACUUCAUCUCUUGAUGGGAGAAGAGGCAUAUAUGACAGGAAUGGAAGAAUUUGUUGGGAACCAUCUUUUCAGACCAGUUAUCCCAGGGUGUCUGUUCCCUUUUCACUUCCUUCCUUACCCUGUUCUUAUGAUUGGUAAUAUAUCCACUUCAUUUCAAUUACACGACUAUAUACAUGCCCACAGUGGGAACACAAGGAAUUUUAAGGCCUGCUAUCUCCCCUUAAGGACCUUGUUAAAAGCAAAUUGGUAAAACAAGGC